UACAUGGGGUGCAAACGUUGCUCGGAAUUAUUGGGCGUAAAGCGCACGUAGGCGGUUUGUUAAGUCGGAUGUGAAAUCCCUCGGCUCAACUGAGGAAGUGCAUCCGAAACUGGCAGGCUUGAGUACUAAAGAGGGUCGCGGAAUUCCCGGUGUAGAGGUGAAAUUCGUAGAUAUCGGGAGGAACACCGGUGGCGAAGGCGGCAUCCUGGACCAACACUGACACUGAGGAGCGAAAGCCAGGGGAGCAAACGGG
rnacentral:rRNA from 1 species